CAGUCCUCUACACUGUGCCCGGGAGCACCCGAAUGGAAUUCACAUUUGACAUUUUCAUCAAAAUUGGCUGGCCUUUGAUCAGGUCCCAUAGGCGCCAAAGUCCUCAACUGUACCAGCCCCAUAUCUUUCAACUUUUUCAAUAGGACAGAGUAUGUCACAGGCGGCCUGUCAAAAUGCCGAUCACUCAUCCUCCUCCUGACUGGAUAUCCUACCCUCGGAGACCUCCGCUGAAAUGGCUGACGCUGCUGUUGCUGUUGUGCAGGCUGAUUGUCAGCUGGAAUAGUUACCGCAGCGGUGUGCUGGAAGUAACGAUCCCUACUGGGUCCUCNAU
rnacentral:lncRNA from 1 species